CAGUCGCCGCGGGAAUACGUAGGGUGCAAGCGUUAAUCGGAAUUACUGGGCGUAAAGCGUGCGCAGGCGGUUUGUUAAGACAGAUGUGAAAUCCCCGGGCUCAACCUGGGAACUGCAUUUGUGACUGGCAAGCUAGAGUAUGGCAGAGGGGGGUGGAAUUCCGCGUGUAGCAGUGAAAUGCGUAGAUAUGCGGAGGAACACCGAUGGCGAAGGCAGCCCCCUGGGCCAAUACUGACGCUCAUGCACGAAAGCGUGGGGAGCAAACAGGAUUAGAUACCCCGGUAGUCCCUGUCUCUUAUAA
rnacentral:rRNA from 1 species